AUGCUGAUUCACAGUCAGACUGAUAUUGAGCUUCAGUUUGAGGGGCAGGACACACAUUCAAAACCUCCGGCUCACACUGAGCACAGAUCAUUUGUAUCACUGUGGUACACUUUCGGCAGCGGCACCAAACUGGAUGUUGGCACCGUCUCUCCUCCUCAAGUGAGCGUCCUGACGCCCUCCAGUGCAGAGAUCUCCUCCAAGCGGACGGCUACACUGCUGUGUGUGGCCAACAAGGGCUUCCCGUCAGACUGGAGGCUGGUCUGGAAGGUGUCUGGCGGCAGCAGCAGCAGCGGGGGUCAGGAGAGCAGAAGUGCUGGGCUCCUGGAGAAGGACGGUCUGUACAGCUGGAGCAGCAGCCUGACUCUCACUGAGCAGCAGUGGAUGGAGAGCAACUCAGUGAGCUGUGAGGCCACACGGAGCGGCCAGCCUGCGCACACUGCAGAAUACAUUGUGAUGAGACAGCAGUGUUCAGAGUAGAUCUGCAGCACACACACCACAUCUGUGUGUCUAUCUGUGUGUGUGUGUGUGUGUGUGUGUGUGUGCGCUUUACUCACAUUCACUGCACUUCAGCACACACACACUGGCUGUCUUUCAGUCUCUCUGUGUGCUCUGCUCUGCUUUCUGUCUUUCACAGCAGACUAAAUGUGUGUGUUUUACUGACAUUGAUUCAUUAAUAAAGCACAACUGUAAGUUGAAGUGUG